rnacentral:rRNA from 1 species
GUCCCAGAGCACUUGGUCAACGAUGCUCGCACCCAGGUGUUCAGGUACUGUUUGAACAUCAACUUCCGUGAGGAGUACCGCAUCUACGACGACAUUUUCGCGCUGC